UGGGGAAUUUUGGACAAUGGGCGAAAGCCUGAUCCAGCAAUGCCGCGUGUGUGAAGAAGGCCUUCGGGUUGUAAAGCACUUUUGUCCGGAAAGAAAUCCUUGGCUCUAAUACAGUCGGGGGAUGACGGUACCGGAAGAAUAAGCACCGGCUAACUACGUGCCAGCAGCCGCGGUAAUACGUAGGGUGCAAGCGUUAAUCGGAAUUACUGGGCGUAAAGCGUGCGCAGGCGGUUUGCUAAGACCGAUGUGAAAUCCCCGGGCUCAACCUGGGAACUGCAUUGGUGACUGGCAGGCUAGAGUAUGGCAGAGGGGGGUAGAAUUCCACGUGUAGCAGUGAAAUGCGUAGAGAUGUGGAGGAAUACCGAUGGCGAAGGCAGCCCCCUGGGCCAAUACUGACGCUCAUGCACGAAAGCGUGGGGAGCAAACAGGAUUCAGAUACCCUGGUAGUCCACGCCCUAAACGAUGUCAACUAGUUGUUGGGGAUUCAUUUCCUUAGUAACGUAGCUAACGCGUGAAGUUGACCGCCUGGGGAGUACGGUCGCAAGAUUAAAACUCAAAUGAAUUGACGGGG
rnacentral:rRNA from 1 species